rnacentral:rRNA from 1 species
AUUGAACGCUGGCGGCAUGCCUUACACAUGCAAGUCGAACGGUCACGCGCCUUCCUUUGCCGACUAGUGUCGGACGCGUGCGUAAUACUUCCGCACGUGCCCCCUCCUUGUGUUUAUCGGGUCGAUACCUUUGCUCAUACCGCAUACGAUCUACGUUUUUCAACCGGAUACCUCAAUGCUUUGCGCCGUCUUUGCUGCCGAUUUCAGAUUAGUUAGUUGGUGGGUUAAAAGCUUACCAAGGCGACGAUUUGUAGCGGGUCUGAGAGGAUGAUCAGUCACACUGGAACUGAGACACGGCCCAGACUCCUACGGGAGGCAGCAGUGGGGAAUGUUGGACAAUGGGCGAAAGCGUGAUGCAGCAAUGCCGCGUGAAGGAUGAAGGUCUUCGGGUUGUAAAAUGCUUUUGUAAGGAAAGAAAAGACUUAUAAUAAAACAGGAAGGUCAUGACGGUACCGAAAGAAUAAGCACCGGCUAACUACGUG